rnacentral:rRNA from 1 species
AUUGAACGCUGGCGGCAUGCCUUACACAUGCCAGUCGAACGGCAGCACGGGUGCUUGCCCCUGGUGGCGAGUGGCGAACGGGUGAGUAAUACAUCGGAACAUGUCCUGUAGUGGGGGAUAGCCCGGCGAAAGCCGGAUUAAUACCGCAUACGAUCUACGGAUGAAAGCGGGGGACCUUCGGGCCUCGCGCUAUAGGGUUGGCCGAUGGCUGAUUAGCUAGUUGGUGGGGUAAAGGCCUACCAAGGCGACGAUCAGUAGCUGGUCUGAGAGGGCGACCAGCCACACUGGGACUGAGACACGGCCCAGACUCCUACGGGAGGCAGCAGUGGGGAAUUUUGGACAAUGGGCGAAAGCCUGAUCCAGCAAUGCCGCGUGUGUGAAGAAGGCCUUCGGGUUGUAAAGCACUUUUGUCCGGAAAGAAAUCCUUGGCCCUAAUACGGUCGGGGGAUGACGGUACCGGAAGAAUAAGCACCGGCUAACUACGUG